GGUGAAAACACCGGUGUGGAGGAAGUCACCCAGCUGACGAGAGAAUAACUGCACUGGUUAUAUAUGUGAAAUAUAGAGGAGCAUAUGUUUCAUAUAUGCGGUGUAAUAACAUCGGGACGGUUAUCCGUUAUUGGGAGAGGACGGUCCUCUUCCGUCUAUUGGUCACUCUAUCAGCGGUGCCAUGUGCUGAUUAGUUGGCGUCGCUGUCAGUCACGACAAAGUGAGGGGGAUGGAUUUGGUGGCGGCUGAUUGGCUGUAGUUUCCGUCAGUCAGUCCAUCUGGGAGGCUGGGUGGGAGGAGCGGCGAUUGGCCGGUGCAGCUGUCAUUCAGGAGCGGAGGCUGGGCUGCAGUUACUGCUGGUCGCCCUUGUGUCUCCAGCACUGCGAGGACCGACGCGCCGCCGGCUUUCCGAGCUUCCCGAGCAUCCCGGGCUGGAGCUGCAGCCCCGUCGUCAGGAGACUGGACCUGUCACCCUGUCAUAUAACGUCUGCUGUGUGCAUCUGCAAGGAGGAGAGCACCUGAGCAGCCGGAGCAGCAGCAGUGUGCUGAGAACUUCCCCCUCCUAGGCUGGGAUUACAGGGGCUGCUGUGCUGCUCCGCAUCUGCCCCACUCACCUGCCGGGGGAGCCUACCUACACUCUAUCUGCCCCACUCACCUGCCAGGGGCACCUAUCUGCUCUUCAUCUGCACCACUCACCUGCCAGGGGCACCUACCUGCUCUGCAUCUGCCCUACUCACCUGCAAAGGGUACCUACCUGCUCUUUCUCUGCCCUGAUCACCUACAAUCGACACCUGCCUGCUCUCUAUCUGCUCUACUCACCUGCCUGCUCUCUAUCUGCUCCACUCACCUGCCAGGGUUACCUUCCUGCCCUCUGUAUCUGCCCCAUUCACCUGCCAGGGGCACCUGCCUCGUCUCUGCUCUUCCUAAACAUGAUCUGCAAGCCAAGUGCACUUCUCUGCCUCUCCAGUAUAUGGGGUGUCCUUCUACAAGGAUCCAGUUUCAAAAUCUGGAAUGAAGGUGUGCCGCUUACUGGCCUUCCUGCUCCUUGCUAUGUCCAUGGUGGAGCAUUAGGCACCUUUGCUCCAACAAUGAGGUAUUCCAUUCCUGAAUCUUUUGCUGGUUCAGAAGUGACCAUUAGUACGGGAAGACAAUGGGCCUAAUUCAAAGAUACAUGGACAUACACUCAGCAGACAGAUAUCGAGAUUGUUAGCAACGAGGCAUGUGUUGGAGCCGCCGUGGGCAACUAUGGGAGAUUUCGGGUUGCAUGCAUCUUAUUGGGUGUAAAUGGGUGGCAAGUGAUCGUUACUAUUCUGUUCGUUGAUCUUGCACCCAAGUAGACCAUAGGAAUAUUUAGAGCCAUGCACAGUAUUUUAUCCCAUGUUGACUUCAACUUAUGAUAAAUCCAGCCCACUGUUUACAAUAAAAGAGAUCUAAAAAUAAUACAAAAAGGAAAUUCUUACAGUACAUUUCUCAUCUAUUUAAAAAACAAAAUACAUUUCUAUUUCAGCUACAUAGACCACACUUGCAAAAAAAGUACAUUCAAAGGGUGUGAGAUUUGCCAAAAUCCCAUUAAUUAUCACUUUGCACAGCCUUUCACAGAGAAUAGAGCCAUCGAUGAUACAUUUGCUCAGUAUUCAGGCAGUUCUGGGAGAAAAAAAAAAUAGCCCAGAUAAUUGCUUUUUAGAAAUAAUUCAUCUCACUGGUUAAAGAUCCCAAUUAAACAAGAGUGGUGCUGACCUCUCUUUCUUCACAAGAGUGUUUUGUUGUUUAAGCAACAGAACACAUGGAAUAUGGACGGCUAAUUUGCCUUCCACACCGCCUCCUCCCUGUGUAUAUUUUUAUAGUUCAAAUGCAAAUCAUGUGUAUUGGUUAUUCUUAAAUUGAUGCCUAAGUUGUCAUUUGAAAGUAAUUGAUCGUUUAUAUUCGAGGCACUUGCUUCAUACUAAUGAAAAUUAAUUGGAAAUGUUAUUUUUGAUUAAUUAAGAAAUGGAAAGGAGAAGACACAGUGAAACUCAAUCAGAGUUCAAUGAGGAUGUAUUUACCUGAUGUUUUGAAUCAUUUUCAUCAGACUCACUUUUCAUUUACUUUAAAUCGUAAUUAACUUAUUUAUGUAAGGAAAAAAAUCUUUAAG